rnacentral:tRNA from 1 species
CGUUACAUAGCUCAGUGGUCUAGAGCAGUCGCCCGGCAAGCGAAAGACCCGGGUUCGAUUCCUGGUCUAGCGA